UACGUAGGGUGCGAGCGUUGUCCGGAAUUACUGGGCGUAAAGAGUUCGUAGGCGGUUUGUCGCGUCGUUCGUGAAACUUGGGGCUUAACUCCAAGCGUGCGGGCGAUACGGGCCAGACUUGAGUACUACAGGGGAGACUGGAAUUCCUGGUGUAGCGGUGAAAUGCGCAGAUAUCAGGAGGAACACCGGUGGCGAAGGCGGGUCUCUGGGUAGUAACUGACGCUGAGGAACGAAAGCGUGGGUAGCGAACAGG
rnacentral:rRNA from 1 species